GAUUUUCAAGAAAAAGCUGUUUCGGGAGUCAGAUGAAGCUGUUACAGAGCCAAUGUUCGUGCAAUUAUCGUAUGUUCAAUUACAACAUGAUUACAUAAUGGGCAAUUAUCCUGUUGGCAAGGAAGAUGCUGCACAGAUGUCUGCUUUGCAGAUCCUGGUUGACAUUGGAUAUGUGGAUGGCCCUGAAUCUUGCACUGACUGGACAUCACUGCUGGAGCGAUUUUUACCCAGACAAAUUGCAAUGACACGGGCAAAGAGGGAAUGGGAAUUGGACAUCCUUUCUCGUUACAAAGUGAUGGAAA
rnacentral:misc_RNA from 1 species